UUACACAUGCAAGUCGAGGGGAAACGACAUCGAAAGCUUGCUUUUGAUGGGCGUCGACCGGCGCACGGGUGAGUAACGCGUAUCCAACCUGCCCACCACUUGGGGAUAACCUUGCGAAAGUAAGACUAAUACCCAAUGACGUCUCUAGAAGACAUCUGAAAGGGAUUAAAGAUUUAUCGGUGAUGGAUGGGGAUGCGUCUGAUUAGCUUGUUGGCGGGGUAACGGCCCACCAAGGCGACGAUCAGUAGGGGUUCUGAGAGGAAGGUCCCCCACAUUGGAACUGAGACACGGUCCAAACUCCUACGGGAGGCAGCAGUGAGGAAUAUUGGUCAAUGGGCGAGAGCCUGAACCAGCCAAGUAGCGUGCAGGAUGACGGCCCUAUGGGUUGUAAACUGCUUUUAUAAGGGAAUAAAGUGAGUCUCGUGAGACUUUUUGCAUGUACCUUAUGAAUAAGGACCGGCUAAUUCCGUGCCAGCAGCCGCGGUAAUACGGAAGGUCCGGGCGUUAUCCGGAUUUAUUGGGUUUAAAGGGAGCGUAGGCCGGAGAUUAAGCGUGUUGUGAAAUGUAGACGCUCAACGUCUGCACUGCAGCGCGAACUGGUUUCCUUGAGUACGCACAAAGUGGGCGGAAUUCGUGGUGUAGCGGUGAAAUGCUUAGAUAUCACGAAGAACUCCGAUUGCGAAGGCAGCUCACUGGAGCGCAACUGACGCUGAAGCUCGAAAGUGCGGGUAUCGAACAGGAUUAGAUACCCUGGUAGUCC
rnacentral:rRNA from 1 species